AGGGGACUUCACAGGGAGGAAUGAGGAGUGGGAUGCAGUGAUAUCACAAGGGUCCCAUUGUGACCCCUCCACUAUCAGCUAAGGGGGGAUUGUCUGCGCCUGAACAGAGGGGGAGGGGAGUAAAUAAGGGGCUGUUGCCAGAGCCUGAGCCCACCAGAGAAAGUCUGUGUGCAGAGGGAGGGCCUCAGGUCCUGCUGCUCCUUCAUCCUGACCCCUUCACACCCUCCUCUAACAAGGACCUUGAUCUCCCUUCUCCACUCUCCUGGAUCCUGCUCAGUGUGGCAUCGGCCUUCUCUGGGGCCCUGGAGUUCCCACUGACCUUCAGCUCCCCCAGUUGCAUCUGCUGUUCCCACUGCAGGGUGCAUUUCUCACCUGCAUUAUGGCCCAGGAAUCUCAAGUCACCAUCCCUACCAUGGUUACCCCAAUCUGAAGCAACCUGAUGACCCCAGAAAGGAACUGAUCAUCAGGGGAGGCUGGAGGCAGGCGGAUUUUUACAGAAAUCCAACAGCAGGAGCAAAACAAGGAAAAAGGUGGAAGCAGGAGGGUGGUCAACUGGAGACCCAGGAAGGAUUCCAGGAUGGUGGGAAGUUCUCAUCCAGCAAGAUUGGUGGAGGCCUCAUCUGUGCCCUGCCCCUUUCAAGAGGUUUCCUCUGCACCCCCACCCACCCCAACCCUGGCCACUGACCUGCAGGAACAGCAGAUAUAACUGUGGGGCCCUGAGGCCUGCAGGAACCCGGGGACUCAGGAAAGGCAGGUGUUGCGUUGAGCAGGAUCCAAGUUAGCCGGGGAGGGAUGUGGGUGUCCUUGUUAGAGGAGGAUGUGAAGGGAUUGGGAUGAAGGAGUCCAGGAGGAGCAGCAGGACCCGAGGCCCUCCCUCUGCACACAGCCUUUCUCUGCUGGGCUCAGGCCCUAGCAACAGUGCCUUAUUUAUUUCCCCCACCCUUGCUCAGGCUUAGCCAGUCCUUGCUCCAAUGAUGGGGUAGGGGUCAUAAUGGGACUCUUGUGACAUCACUACAUCCCACCCCUCAUUCUCUUGCUUUGAGAUACAGACUCCUUUAAGGAAUCAAAGUUGACUUAUAGAGACAAUAAAAUCCCCUUGAGAAAACUGGCCUCAUAACUAGUCUCUACAGUUCCUGUACAGGGUUCCUGACCUGUGGUAAGGAAAGAAUAUCAGUUCCUAGCAGGCCCAGGAUCCCCAAGUUAUAUUAAGACCUCAAGAGGAGAGAAAUUUACUCAACUCAUUCAGAUAUGGUUGGCAGAAAACCAUGGCUGGGCUCAAGGCUUUAAAGUCUUAUCUGAGAUUUCUCAUGGAACCAUGUUCCAUCAAAGCCAAUAUAAA
rnacentral:lncRNA from 1 species